UUUUUGUUUGAAUUUUUUUUUUUCAGUAAGUUCUCAGAUGCCUGGUGGUAAUUAAAGGAAAAACCCUCGACUAUAAAAGAUAUCAUAAAGACAUUACCAACGCUGCCGACGACAGCGAGAGAAGCGAGUAGUAGAAGCCUUGCGACUCUGGACCAGUCAGAUGAGAGUGUAACCGGCGACACAUCUAGAUCGCUGUCAAAUAUAUUUGUUUU